UAAUAACAGAGUCCACUUUGAAUCCCAGUGAACCGACCCUUAUGACCCAUGUAUUAUGAUGAGCGGGGGGAACGCAGUGGCUCCCUCUAAGUAGGUCAGGCACCAAUUGGUAGUCAACGCCACAGACCCAGGGAGAUUUAAUGAGACGACAACCAGACAGAGACGAAGAUGGAAAGAGGGCCCCAAGCGCGUGUCCCCAGGCACCACAAUCUGGCAACAGGGCCCAGCCCAUGUCAGUUCUCUCCCAGAUGGACCAGAACAAACUUUCGGAAACUCCUAACACGGGAUCCACAGCCCAGGCUGAGCCUCGAGCCUUGGCUCUGGCAGCAGGAACGACCAAGCUCAAAUUAAAAACAAACCCUGAAUCAGAUGGAGAUGGGGACGCAAGUAGCAGGCACAGAAAUAGCACAGGGCACGGUGUUCGGAGAGGCAGGGAGUGAGUGGAAGGCUGCUACAGAGCAGGCAAGGCAGAAACAAAACGGCUCUAAGCUCGUGUCCACAAAAGCCAGGCCCCUUUGCUGGGAUCUCUGUGCCACCAUUCCCGUCCCUCGUCCAGGCUGGCCAGUAUCGCUGGCACCUGCACCCCGGCUGGCAGAUGGAGAGGCCAGGCGCGUUAAAUCCAGUGCCUACUCACUCCACCAUCACGAAGGUCACCGAGCAGCAGCUGAGCGCCUAGAGUCCUCCUUGAGAGGCAGGAUCCGGCCGUGACAACGCCAUCUCCAAGAUUUGUUAAAGUAGUAAAGAGAGCUGACUCUGGGGCAAGUCGCCUGUAUCUGAAUUCGGCCCCUUGUAGUUAUGACUAACUGGACAACCUCAGACAAGCUACCGAACCUCUGUAUCCCUCCAUCUCCUCAUCUCUAAAACGGAGAUAACUACGGUACCGCCCUCACAGCGUUCUUGUAAAAUUUAAACAAGUUCAUGCAUGUAACGCACUUAGCAUACAGCAAGCCCCGGAUAAACGUUGCCUACUUUGAUCAUUACUGUCAUCAUUAGUAUGAUCUACGUCCGCCGGUUGAAUGGAACUCAGAGCUUGGUGUUCAGGCUAUAAUGGUAUGAUCACAGUUUUGGAAAAUCCAGUAAUACAGAGGGAUGCAGACCCAGAGAGAAACAGCUCGAUGCAAUUUCAUUUGCUGGAAAUUCAGAAUAUUUAGAGAAAACAAGAAAUCAAAGUUCCCCGACCUUCUCUAGCCUUUUCUCUUGCCCUCUCCCCCAAGGAUCCAGAAAAGAGAAGCCAACAGAUGUCCAGGUACCUUUAACAUUUUUUAAAAAUAAAAAAAAAUAUUGCAUUAAAUAUUGCUUACGUUGAUCACUGCAUUUUGGGGGCACUCAAGUUUUAGACUCUGUUCAUCGACUCACUCACUUCAUCCUGGCUCUGGCCUUGGCUGGGAGAUAAUGAGCAAGUCAUACGGAGACAUAAUUAAGAUGCAGAUUCUGCUCCAGCAGGUCUGCGGGAAAGAGCUGAGGUCCUGCCCUUCUAAUAAGUGCCCAGGUGACGGCUGUGCACUGCGGAGGCUCGGGACAGUGGGCCGGGGAGGCACACACCUGAGCUUCAUUUUGGUGUCUCUUUGAUGUGAUUGUUUUCAGACAACUUGGAAACUCUCUCAUUAUUCAUGGGAACCUCUGUUGUUAAAUCUGUGGCCAAGUCCUUGAACCCAGAGGCAGAGAACAUUCGUUGUUUUGUUUUGUUCUAAAUCAAACAAAUUAAAGCAAAUACCUACAGACUCCUGGUGACUGCCCUUUGGGGAGUUCAUUUAACUUUCUGUUUCCCUCGCUCCUCUGCCUGGCUGUGGAGGCAGGGGCAGGAAUAUCACAGAGGACAGGAUGGGACUGUGCAUUGGUUAGCACUGCAAAAACACUGGGCUCCAGAGGGAAUCAGUUGCUGAUGAGAGUAAUAAAACAGCACUAGUUCGGCAUACCCAAACUGUCUUCCACUGCCCUUCAGUAAAACUCCAGGGAGGAGCAAGAGCGCAGGUGCUUUGGGCUUAGCAACUGGGAUGCAGAUGACCUGUUCCUUCACUUAUUAGCUGUGUGACCUCAGGCAUGUGACUUAACCUCCCUGAACCUUAUUUAUUUCUCAGUCCAGUAGAUCAUUCUAAUGGUGUCUACCUUACAGGAUUUUUGCUGUGAGAUAAUUCAUAAAUACAUGGAAAAUACAAUUACUUUUCCCAAAGUCCAAAAAAGCACCCAAGCAGUUGAACAUUAAUAAGAAGCUCCCAUGGAUGUACACUUGUUUGUAAUUUUCACCUCUAUCUCCAAGUCCAAGACUUUCUCAGAACGUGUGUGUGUUCAAAAGAGUAUUUUUUCUGUAUAAACCCUUCCUAAUUAUUGUACAGAGUAAUGCAAAAAUUAUUAAAGUGAUAUUAAAGCCUCUUCCAUCCUUGGGUGGAAGAGAUGGUUAACAUUUCUGAUUAAAAUGCAUGUACCUGGGGACAUCCUUUCAAAAGGAAGAGAGCCCCCCUCAACACACACAUGUACACGCACACGCACACACGCAUUUAUCGUUCUCCUCCUCACAUCCCAUACCCUCCAGCACAGAGCACUGUGUCCUACACAUGGUAGGUCCUGGCAAACACGAGCAGACUGAUUCCACAGAAGGAGAAGCCCGUAUGCUGGGUGAUCUGUUCACAUCGCCACCAUUUGGGGUGUGUACUGCCAGACUGGUCUGCCAGCCUGACUAGACUAAAGGGAUGGAGAAAAGAGGACUGGAAGAAACAGCUAUCAGCCUUUAAUUUUCACCAAGGUCUGGAACAGAGUAUCAGACAAGCUUGCUUUUCACUAAAUGAGACACAGCAACUCAGGCAGAGGAUUACAGGAAUCCACAUGUGACAGUGGCCUCUCAGACAACAUUGUCCAAAAGCCCUUAACCCACUCUCCGUGUGGGGGGAAGGGACUCUUCAUCAAAUCCUGCUUUCGGGACCAUCUGUGCCCCUGCCCGUGUAAACAAGCCCCUCAGCUCUCAUUCAAGUAUUGUUGCAAAUUUGCCUGUUCUGGGCACUGUUGCUCCAGGCUGUGGGCCACUGCAGAGAGCCUUUCUUCCUUCAGGGAUUUCUCUGUCUAAACGAGAUUUAUGAUGAUCCUUUGGCAAGAAUCUCUGAAUCACUGGCUUUCACAAUAUAGCCAAAAGGGUAUUUCAGGAGAAUCUACCUCUAACAAGCAAUACAGCCCUGCAGAUUUAUCUCUUUUGAUGAAACAGGCACAGCCCAGUGCUCCCAGAAUACCAUCCCUGGACAAGGUGCUGCUGCAAAGCCGGUGUAGACCACAUGGCACUGACUGGACCAGCUCUGACUCAAACAGCUGAGUGACACUGAGGCAGCUAUUUAACCUCUCUGAACAAGGGUCUCAUCUAUAAAAUGGAAACGAUUAAGUCUUCUUCAUGGGGCUGUCAUGAAGGUUACAUUGUUGCUGUGAGAUAAUUCAUAUAUACGUACUUUUGUAUGAUACAUAAACAAUCACAUUAACUUUCCCAAAGUAAAAAAAAAAAAAAAAAAA